GCCGAGCAUGGUGGUGUGUGCCUGUAGUCCCAGCUACUCGGGAGGCUGAGGUAGGAGGACCGCUUGAGCCCAGGAGUUCUGGGCUGUAAUGCACUAUGCCGAUCGGAUGUCCGCACUAAGUUCAGCAUCAAUAUGGUGACCUCCCGGGAGCGGGGGACCACCAGGUUACCUAAGGAGGGGUGAACCAGCCCAGGUCAGAAACGGAGCAGGUCAAAACUCCCGUGCUGAUCAGUAGUGGGAUUGCGCCUGUGAACAGCCACUGCACUCCAGCCUGGGCAACAUAGCAAGACCCUGUCUCU
rnacentral:SRP_RNA from 1 species